CAUAAAGUAUGCUUGCCCACUUUAAUUCAGAAUGUUUUCCAGAUCUCAGUUCUUGCUGUCAUUUAGCAGGCAAGCAGUAUAUCUAUAGAUAGGUCAUACCUGAGGCAGUCCAUGAACAGCAAGGGAACAUUUUUCUCACACUUGGGUGUGAACUGUCACACUAGAACUGAAUUCUAGUGUUCCUACUUUAAGAAAACAAUAAAAAUUCACAAAAUAUAUAUAAUUUAAUCAGGUGGCAGAUGGACAGAAAAAAAUAUGCAUAACUUUGUUAUGCCCCUAAAUUUUUUUUUAGAAACUUGAGUUUUGUUUUUUUAUUUUAUAGGAACACUCUUGAAAUGCAAUUCAAUUCUAGUUCAGUCAGGCACUGCCUACAACCUGAAUGGAACGUUUGGGAGUAGAAAAAUGAGGCAUGAUUUAAACACUUCAGGAGUUCAUGGUCCAAUGUAAAAAGCUAGAGCAUCACAUU
rnacentral:lncRNA from 1 species